AACGAACGCUGGCGGCAGGCCUAACACAUGCAAGUCGAACGGACCCUUCGGGGUUAGUGGCGCACGGGUGCGUAACACGUGGGUAUAUGCCCUUGGGUAAGGAAAAACAGUUGGAAACGACUGCUAAUACCUUAUAACACCGCGAGAUCAAAGAUUUAUCGCCCAAGGAUUAGACCGCGUUAGAUUAGGUAGUUGGUGGGGUAAUAGCCUACCAAGCCUACGAUCUAUAGCUGGUCUUAGAGGAUGACCAGCCACACUGGGACUGUGACACGGACCAGACUCCUACGGGAGGCAGCAGUGAGGAAUAUUGGACAAUGGGCGAAAGCCUGAUCCAGCCAUGCCGCGUGAAUGAUGAAGGCCUUAGGGUUGUAAAGUUCUUUUAGUAGUGAAGAUGAUGACGGGAACUACAGAAGAAGCUCCGGCUAACUUCGUGCCAGCCGCCGCAGUAA
rnacentral:rRNA from 1 species